rnacentral:rRNA from 1 species
AGAUGAUCAGGUUGAUAGGUCAGAGGUGGAAGCGUGGCGACAUGUGGAGCUGACUGAUACUAAUCGAUCGAGGACUUAACCAAU